GGUUAAGUUAGAAAGGGCGCACGGUGGAUGCCUUGACACUAGGAGUCGAUGAAGGACGGGACUAACGCCGAUAUGCUUCGGGGAGCUGUAAGUAAGCUUUGAUCCGAAGAUUUCCGAAUGGGGAAACCCACCAUACGUAAUGGUAUGGUAUCCUUAUCUGAAUACAUAGGGUAAGGAAGACAGACCCAGGGAACUGAAACAUCUAAGUACCUGGAGGAAGAGAAAGCAAAUGCGAUUUCCUGAGUAGCGGCGAGCGAAACGGAACAUAGCCCAAACCAAGAGGCUUGCCUCUUGGGGUUGUAGGACAUUCUAUACGGAGUUACAAAGGAACGAGGUAGACGAAGCGACCUGGAAAGGUCCGUCGUAGAGGGUAAGAACCCCGUAGUCGAAACUUCGUUCUCUCUUGAAUGUAUCCUGAGUACGGCGGAACACGUGAAAUUCCGUCGGAAUCUGGGAGGACCAUCUCCCAAGGCUAAAUACUCCCUAGUGAUCGAUAGUGAACCAGUACCGUGAGGGAAAGGUGAAAAGCACCCCGGAAGGGGAGUGAAAGAGAUCCUGAAACCGUGUGCCUACAAAUAGUCAGAGCCCGUUAACGGGUGAUGGCGUGCCUUUUGUAGAAUGAACCGGCGAGUUACGAUCCCGUGCGAGGUUAAGCUGAAGAGGCGGAGCCGCAGCGAAAGCGAGUCUGAAUAGGGCGUUUAGUACGUGGUCGUAGACCCGAAACCAGGUGAUCUACCCAUGUCCAGGGUGAAGUUCAGGUAACACUGAAUGGAGGCCCGAACCCACGCACGUUGAAAAGUGCGGGGAUGAGGUGUGGGUAGCGGAGAAAUUCCAAUCGAACCUGGAGAUAGCUGGUUCUCCCCGAAAUAGCUUUAGGGCUAGCCUUAAGUGUAAGAGUCUUGGAGGUAGAGCACUGAUUGGACUAGGGGUCCUCAUCGGAUUACCGAAUUCAGUCAAACUCCGAAUGCCAAUGACUUAUCCUUAGGAGUCAGACUGCGAGUGAUAAGAUCCGUAGUCAAAAGGGAAACAGCCCAGACCGCCAGCUAAGGUCCCAAAGUGUGUAUUAAGUGGAAAAGGAUGUGGAGUUGCUUAGACAACUAGGAUGUUGGCUUAGAAGCAGCCACCAUUUAAAGAGUGCGUAAUAGCUCACUAGUCGAGUGACUCUGCGCCGAAAAUGUACCGGGGCUAAAUACACCACCGAAGCUGCGGAUUGAUACCGAAUGGUAUCAGUGGUAGGGGAGCGUUCUAAGGACAGUGAAGUCAGACCGUAAGGACUGGUGGAGUGCUUAGAAGUGAGAAUGCCGGUAUGAGUAGCGAAAGACGGGUGAGAAUCCCGUCCACCGAAUGCCUAAGGUUUCCUGAGGAAGGCUCGUCCGCUCAGGGUUAGUCAGGACCUAAGCCGAGGCCGACAGGCGUAGGCGAUGGACAACAGGUUGAUAUUCCUGUACCACCUCUUUAUCGUUUGAGCAAUGGAGGGACGCAGAAGGAUAGAAGAAGCGUGCGAUUGGUUGUGCACGUCCAAGCAGUUAGGCUGAUAAGUAGGCAAAUCCGCUUAUCAUAAAGGCUGAGCUGUGAUGGGGAAGCUCCUUAUGGAGCGAAGUCUUUGAUUCCCCGCUGCCAAGAAAAGCUUCUAGCGAGAUAAAAGGUGCCUGUACCGCAAACCGACACAGGUAGGCGAGGAGAGAAUCCUAAGGUGUGCGAGAGAACUCUGGUUAAGGAACUCGGCAAAAUGACCCCGUAACUUCGGGAGAAGGGGUGCUUUCUUAACGGAAAGCCGCAGUGAAUAGGCCCAAGCGACUGUUUAGCAAAAACACAGCUCUCUGCGAAGCCGUAAGGCGAAGUAUAGGGGGUGACACCUGCCCGGUGCUGGAAGGUUAAGGAGAGGGGUUAGCGUAAGCGAAGCUCUGAACUGAAGCCCCAGUAAACGGCGGCCGUAACUAUAACGGUCCUAAGGUAGCGAAAUUCCUUGUCGGGUAAGUUCCGACCCGCACGAAAGGUGUAACGAUUUGGGCACUGUCUCAACCAGAGACUCGGUGAAAUUAUAGUACCUGUGAAGAUGCAGGUUACCCGCGACAGGACGGAAAGACCCCGUGGAGCUUUACUGUAGCCUGAUAUUGAAUUUUGGUACAGUUUGUACAGGAUAGGCGGGAGCCAUUGAAACCGGAGCGCUAGCUUCGGUGGAGGCGCUGGUGGGAUACCGCCCUGACUGUAUUGAAAUUCUAACCUACGGGUCUUAUCGACCCGGGAGACAGUGUCAGGUGGGCAGUUUGACUGGGGCGGUCGCCUCCUAAAGUGUAACGGAGGCGCCCAAAGGUUCCCUCAGAAUGGUUGGAAAUCAUUCGUAGAGUGCAAAGGCAUAAGGGAGCUUGACUGCGAGACCUACAAGUCGAGCAGGGACGAAAGUCGGGCUUAGUGAUCCGGUGGUUCCGCAUGGAAGGGCCAUCGCUCAACGGAUAAAAGCUACCCCGGGGAUAACAGGCUUAUCUCCCCCAAGAGUCCACAUCGACGGGGAGGUUUGGCACCUCGAUGUCGGCUCAUCGCAUCCUGGGGCUGUAGUCGGUCCCAAGGGUUGGGCUGUUCGCCCAUUAAAGCGGUACGCGAGCUGGGUUCAGAACGUCGUGAGACAGUUCGGUCCCUAUCCGUCGUGGGCGUAGGAAAUUUGAGAGGAGCUGUCCUUAGUACGAGAGGACCGGGAUGGACGCACCGCUGGUGUACCAGUUGUUCUGCCAAGGGCAUAGCUGGGUAGCUAUGUGCGGAAGGGAUAAGUGCUGAAAGCAUCUAAGCAUGAAGCCCCCCUCAAGAUGAGAUUUCCCAUAGCGUAAGCUAGUAAGAUCCCUGAAAGAUGAUCAGGUUGAUAGGUUCGAGGUGGAAGCAUGGUGACAUGUGGAGCUGACGAAUACUAAUAGAUCGAGGACUUAACCAU
rnacentral:rRNA from 1 species